rnacentral:rRNA from 1 species
UACGUAGGCAGCAAACGUUGUUCGGAGUUACUGGGCGUAAAGAGUAUGUAGGUGGUUUGCUAAGUUUGGUGUGAAAUCUCCCGGCUUAACUGGGAGGGUGCGCCGAAUACUGGCGGGCUUGAGUGUGGGAGAGGGAAGCGGAAUUUCUGGUGUAGCGGUGAAAUGCGUAGAUAUCAGAAGGAACACCUGUGGUGUAGACGGCUUCCUGGACCACAACUGACACUGAGAUACGAAAGCGUGGGUAGCAAACAGG